UGGUCUGAAAUUCUCUUUUUUGAUUGUGUCUCUGCCAGGCUUUGGUAUCAGGAUGAUGCUGGCCUCAUAAAAUGAGAUACGGAGGAUUCCCUCUUUUUCUAUUGAUUGGAAUAGUUUCAGAAGGAAUGGUACCAGUUCCUCCUUGUACCUCUGGUAGAAUUCGGCUGUGAAUCCAUCAGGUCCUGGACUCUUUUUGUCGGAAAGGGAACUCCCUGACCCCUUGCGCUUCCCGAGUGAGACAAUGCCUCGCCCUACUUCAGCUCAGCUUGCGCAUGGUGCACUGAACCGACUGUCCUGCACCCACUGCUUGGCACUCCCUAGUGAGAUGAACCCGGUACCUCAUGUGGAAAUGCAGAAAUCAACCAUCUUCUGUGUCACUCACACUGGGAGCUGUAGACCGGAGCUUUUCCUAUUCAUCCAUCUUCGCUCCACCACCCCCCCCCCAGUAAUAAUUUCAAUAAAUAUUUAAAGGCUAAACCAAGAUGAGGCUGGUAGGACCAGGGAGAAACAGCUCCAUGCUACAUAUUGAGAUCAUCUAAAGACAGGAAAUUGAUGUUUUAUAUGAGUUUGAUUUCAAAGAGUAAAGGGGAAUAUCUGGUCCCCAGUUUCGUCUCUGGAAAGAACUGCACCUGACCCAACCCACCCUAAUUACCUGUUAUCUCCUGAUUGUGAAGUCUAUGAAAACAAACACACAGGUCAUUUUCAGAAAAUGAAGACAUGGUGUUAGUGGCAAAAUCUCACUGUGGUUUGAAUGAGCAUUGAUGAACUGUCUGGAAGGAGUCCUUCAUUGCUCUGUUGUCCAGUCAAGAAUGGGAGACACUAAGAGCUUGGCCAGGGCUUCAACUUAAGUUCCAUGUGAAUAACCUUGGCCUAUGCUCCCUGGACAUGCAGUUUACCAUCUGUAGAGUGUGGCCAGUUUGCCUGAUGGGAGGAAUCACAUGCACUGCAAGCCACCCCUUGCAGCAAGAAGUCCACAAACAGGACCUUUCCCUGGCAACAGUAAGUGAGGUCAGCUGGGGUCUGGAGCUGCCCAAGACUGGCCACAUGCUCCAGGGAUGGGAAUUGUAGUGCCCUAGAGGUAGCCUCUACCUGUGACUGCCUUAGGGCUGCCGUGAGAGCCAUGGUCCACAUGGCGCCUGUGAGCAGAGAUGGGGGAAAGAGGAGACACAGAGGUCAACAGGGAUAUGGAAGUGUCUUUUAUUGCAAUUAAGUUUUCUAGUCAUCAAACCUCUUCAAGGUGUAGAAUCAGCUCUGAAAUUGUCGAAGUGUUUUGAUCAUAGCAUUCAGGGAUUUAUUUUUUAACUGAGAUUUACAUUACUAUGUAUUUGCAGUAAUGUUUUUGUUAAAAGUUGUAUCAUAAUGUAUUUAGCCAGAACUCAGUGUCUGUGAGAAACAAAACAUACUUACUACCUUCUGUGAUAUAAAGUUUAAAAUUAUAUAAUGUAACCAGUGACUUUCCUGUUUUAAAAUAUCACAUAAUCAAAAAAAUAAACUUAUAGUCUGUU